rnacentral:rRNA from 1 species
UACGGAGGGUGCAAGCGUUAUCCGGAUUCACUGGGUUUAAAGGGUGCGUAGGAGGGCAGGGAAGUCCGUGGUGAAAUCUCCGAGCUUAACUCAGAAACUGCCGUGGAUACUCUCUGUCUUGAAUCCCGUGGAGAUGAGCGGAAUAUGUCAUGUAGCGGUGAAAUGCUUAGAUAUGACAUAGAACACCAAUUGCGAAGGCAGCUCGUUACACGAAGAUUGACUCUGAGGCACGAAAGCGUGGGGAUCAAACAGG